rnacentral:rRNA from 1 species
GCGGAAUGCUUUACACAUGCAAGUCGAACGGCAGCACGGAGAGCUUGCUCUCUGGUGGCGAGUGGCGAACGGGUGAGUAAUAUAUCGGAACGUGUCCAAUAAUGGGGGAUAACGAGUCGAAAGAUUCGCUAAUACCGCAUACGCCCUACGGGGGAAAGCAGGGGAUCGUAAGACCUUGCGUUAAUGGAGCGGCCGAUAUCUGAUUAGCUUGUUGGUGAGGUAAAGGCUCACCAAGGCGACGAUCAGUAGCUGGUUUGAGAGAACGACCAGCCACACUGGAACUGAGACACGGUCCAGACUCCUACGGGAGGCAGCAGUGGGGAAUUUUGGACAAUGGGGGCAACCCUGAUCCAGCCAUUCCGCGUGAGUGAAGAAGGCCUUCGGGUUGUAAAGCUCUUUCGCAAGGGAAGAAAACUUAUGAUCGAAUAAAUCAUGAGGUUGACGGUACCUUGAUAAGAAGCACCGGCUAACUACGUGCCAGCAGCCGCGGUAAUACGUAGGGUGCGAGCGUUAAUCGGAAUUACUGGGCGUAAAGCGUGCGCAGGCGGUUUUGUAAGUCGGAUGUGAAAUCCCCGGGCUCAACCUGGGAACUGCGUUCGAAACUGCAAGGCUAGAGUGUGUCAGAGGGGGGUAGAAUUCCACGUGUAGCAGUGAAAUGCGUAGAGAUGUGGAGGAAUACCAAUGGCGAAGGCAGCCCCCUGGGAUAACAC